GGGUGUAGCUGCGCUCGGGGGAGGCCCUCCAUCCGCCCUCCGCUGCCGUAGCGCCCUCCUCGGCCUCCCCUCCCCGAUUAUGCUGAACCUGACAGCUCUAUCACAAGUCUGAGGAGCUGUGCUAGUGAACUUUGUCUACUGAGAGCACCUUGACCAGAAAGAAGAGACUUCAGACAGCUCUUCUACCCUGCAAGGACCUUUCCUUAAAAGCCUUGUUGAGGAACACGGUUGGAAGCUUGCUGGCAACUCAGCUAUGUUUAUCAACCAAACCAUCCUCAUCCAUGGACCUUCUGAGCCCUUCAAAGAAGCUGGAUUGGUACUUAAUGCAGACAGUCUUGGUUCUUCCAAGGUGUCUCAUGUUUAAUAAUAGAUGUUUAAUAAUUUUAUUCCUUGUUAAAGUUUAUACUACUCGCUGAUAGGUGAAGUACCAGAGAUGAUGAAAGAAACAGGUUUUUUGAGUAGUUAGACCUCUUGAGAAGUGCUGAGUGAAGCACUUUAAAAGGCAGUGCAAUUUGAAUGGUUUGCAUAGCUGAGAUAGCUAAUGUAAAUGGAUUCGGUAACAAAUCUUAGCAAAAUCAGCCAUUCCCCAGCACAGGCUGUUGUCACUAAUAAUUGGAGCAAAGUGUGUGGAUAUAAUCGUUCUUUCAUUGUUACCUACUGUAAAAUAACAGCAAAAGGCUCCUUGUGGCUGCACAGUGUAACCACUUUGAAAACCUGACGGUGUCAAGUCUGAUGCAGCUGUUGAUAAGAGAUCAUUUGCAGAUUUACUCCAGAAUUAUCCAGUGAAAGACAAAAUAAGAGGUGAAAAAAUUCUCCAACAAAUCCAGCAACUUGGAAAUAAUUACCUUCUUUAUGUUACAAGUCAUCAGAAUUACUGCUCAGUGAAUAAUGCAGGGACAGUUUCCAGAAGAGUGGCAGAUUAGCAGAUGUUUCAUAAAACAUAUGAAUGCAUUUAUUAACAAGGGCCUGUUAGAUCUGUGCAUGCACGGCUUGUGUAAGAACUCACAUUGGCGAGGUACAAGGGCUACACAGUUUGUAAACAAAUUAAUUCAAAAUUGAUGCAUUGUACCUCAUUCAGUGGUUGUUUUGCUUUGUGUGUGUGUGUAUGCUUCUCUAUACUACCCAGGAGUAAGUGUGACACAAUUAAAAGCAGCAUAUCUUGCAUUUAUGGGAAGAAGGAAGAGUUGAGAGUGUGUACAUAAAUAUUCCCUGCAGAGCUGCUGGUUUGUGGUAACUACUUUGUAUGUCAGUCCUUAUUCUGCAUUGCAGUGGUUAACUCUUGCCUUUAAAAAAAGAAGACACAUUUGAAUUCAUAUACCUUCUAGAUGUGUCCAGGGGCCAACUCUGAGCUCUGACUAUUGCCACAUUGUGCUGUUGCAUGCAAGAUUAUCUUUCCAGAUAAGCAUGAUAAGUGUUCAAAUGAAUCUAUCAAUAAUCAGUGGAGAGGAUGUUAUAAUACUAAGUCUGUUACUGUAAAAAUGAUAAAAGUCUUUGAAAACAUGCUUGGAAAGGAAUUGCUUUGUUUGUAAUCUGGCUGCAGGUCUGGCAGCAGCAGCUCGUGAAGAGGUGUGGGGACGAGCUGAAUAGAUUCCCUGUUGGCCAACAGAGCUGGGAGGCUGCAUCCUACUAAUAGGAGACUGACUACUCAUUUUUGAAUCCCUUUGGUUAAAGGAAGGAAAAUGGUUUUUGGCCUUUUUUUUUUUUCUUUUUUUUCCUAAUGAAACAUCAGGAGGUAAAAGCCAUUCUUAAGAGGAAAGAACAGCCUACUGGAAAUAAAAGUUCUUCAAUGUCAAAUGGAAUACAGUGUCAGGAGAUUUGUGAUUUCUUUUGGUUUUUCUUAAUCUCUUAGAUUUGUUACAAUAAAUAUAGCUAAGAGAAAAAGGCACGUAAACCAGGAGGUGGAGGACGGAAGAGAUGCUGAAGAUACAGAGCAUGUUGUUGAUUACUCAGUUCCCAAUUCUCUGAUUUGGAUAUGUAAUUAAACUAUUUUCAGU
rnacentral:lncRNA from 7 species